UUCAGCAGCAUCUACUAAAGUUGCUGCGGUUAAAAGGCUCGCAGUUGAAUGUCGGUAUCGAGCCCAGGUCAGGUGGACGCUGGGGCGUGGGAACACGGAGGCUUUGUGCUGUGCGGUGUAACAGCCAAGCUCGCAUUGUCUUCUCUCACAAGCUCCCGUCCGUAAACAGCCUCCUGGCUCGCUUACAUAAUUGGUCUGGCUUAUGGAGUGCGCGUGGGUGCUGUGGGUUGGCCGCAGUGUUCAGGCUCGGACUUCUAGGUCUGUGGUCUGGCUCUGUGACUGCUCGCACGUGCCUCGUGCUCAAGCUCCUAUGGAUCUGGUGUCACCCUGAGUAAAUCAGAGUGUUCAAAGCAGUCGUGUGGGCGCAAGCCCUUAGAACCUCCUUGGAGGACUGACUUGGUUUUGCAUGGCAUGUCGGAAGACGACGUCGUGUGCUGGCUCAGGGAAAUAUCAGUGGUGCAAGCCAGCCACGACGUAAUGAUUAAAAGGACUGGUCGAGGGCAUUGGUAUUGCGGGGCGAGAGGUGAAAUUCUGUGACCCCCGCAAGACCUCCUGAAGCGAAAGCGUCUGCCAAGGACGUUUUCAUUAAUCAUGAACGAAAGUUAGAGGAUCGAAGGCGAUCAGAUACCGCCCUAGUUCUAACCCUAAACGAUGCCAACCAUCAAUCCGCGCGUAGCACCCUAUUUUACGGGCUCGGCGGGCAGCUCCUCGCUCACGGGAAACCAGAGUCUCUGGGUUCCGGGGGGAGUCUGGUUGCAAAGCUGAAACUUAAAGGAAUUGACGGAAA
rnacentral:rRNA from 1 species